rnacentral:ncRNA from 1 species
UAUAAAAGUUGGCAAACUUCGCGAAAGUGAAGGACGCAAAGCUAUGGGUCUACGGCCAGGGGAGGUUAUGAUUGCCAGGUUGCGGUU